rnacentral:rRNA from 1 species
AGUGAACGCUGGCGGCGUGCUUAAUACAUGCAAGUCGAACGAUGAAGCUUCUAGCUUGCUAGAAGUGGAUUAGUGGCGCACGGGUGAGUAAUAUAUAGUUAAUCUGCCUUGCACUGAGGAACAACAGUUGGAAACGAUUGCUAAUACCUCAUACUCCAACUUAGCAUAAGUUAAGUUGGGAAAGUCUUUUCGGUGCAAGAUGAGACUAUAUCGUAUCAGCUAGUUGGUAAGGUAAUGGCUUACCAAGGCUAUGACGCGUAACUGGUCUGAGAGGAUGAUCAGUCACAUUGGAACUGAGACACGGUCCAAACUCCUACGGGAGGCAGCAGUAAGGAAUAUUGUGCAAUGGGGGAAACCCUGACGCAGCAACGCCGCAUGGAGGAUGACACUUUUCGGAGCGUAAACUCCUUUUGUUAGGGAAGAAUAAUGACGGUACCUAACGAAUAAGCACCGGCUAACUCCGUG